rnacentral:lncRNA from 1 species
GAACACGGACAAUCGAUAACAAGCUUAAGGAAUUUAUAUUAUUAUUUCCGUGUUCAUCUGCUUUUGAUUUAAACGUUACAGAACGAUACAACAGUACGGAAAAAAAAAAUUCUUACAUAAAACAGUGACUACAUAUAGUUUUUCCUAACAUAAAAUUGUGACUGUCCAGAAAAUAAAAGAAACUUGUAUUUUUGUUGUUUGCAUGUAACGAACUUGUAUGUUGUUUGGAGACUAAAUCUUCGGAUUUUCUAC